ensembl:lncRNA
UACUUUUUUAAUAUUUUGGAAGCUAUUUUCCAACAGCUUGAGUAAUAACAAAUUCAAUCUUUCUCUAUUUAUAAAUUCAAAUUCUUGUACCAGGCAGGAGAACUGGCUGGCUGACUCUCCCUUGGACAACAGUUUAUCCCCAGACACCCUAGCUUGGAGCAUGGCUCUGGCAAUCUAUUAAGGAAUGUUCCUUUUUGAGGGGAGAGAAGGGGCAAAGAAGCAGUUCCAUGUCUCUAACGUUCUGUCCUUCGUAUCUAUCACAAUUUUAAAUAUGCUCAACCUUUGACCCAGCAAUUCUACUUCUAGGAAGACAGCCUGAAGAAAUUCGAGUACAAGUAUUCCAGAUGUUGCUUUUAUCGUACAGAAGCUGUUUUUUUCCAGAAUGCUCCAACACAUUCCUACUCUUUCGCCCUCUAGAUAAAUGUCUUUCAGUGGACUUUAGAGUUAACAAUAGUGAGCAUUUCUCAAGCUACAGCCAAAGAAACUCCCUUAGGUCUCUAAGCCAACCAGAAAAAAGAAAAUAGCUCAAAAAGGAGGUAAAAAUCAAAGAAAGAAAAAUAUUAAUAAAAUAAGACUCCAGGAUAAUGAGUAAUUGGUGAGACCAGAAGGUGACAAAUUGAUCCGGUAACUGAUUUGCCUGGAUAGCUUUCAACUAAAUGCUCUCAAAAGGAAGAUAUUCUGAAUGAAACAGAAGACCCCGAAACCUUUCCUUUCCACCACCAACCCCCAGAAGCAGAAAGUCAUGAAGGCUCAGUCAGUUGCCCAUAAACUGUGUUCCUGGGUCUUGGCUACAUUGCCAUCAUUUCAGAUGAGCCCCAUCAAUACCAGAUGGACCCCCCGGAUACACGCUCAUUAGUCAUAUGCUUUAAGAUGAGCCCAGUUCUCACACCCACCCGAUGGUGGCAACGGAAAUGAUUACUCUGGGCACCCUGACUGCGUGACUGUGAAAGCAACUGUUUGGUGUUAACUGAUUUGCAUAAUGGUGGAGAACUCCCAGUUUGGGGGAAGUCUUUUCCUAUUUCUGCAGUUCCACAUGCCGUGCUAGUUUCUAAGGGAGCAGGAGCCAGAUACUGAAGCCAUGUCACCCCCUUGUUUGAGGGAGCAGUGCCUCUCAUCACCCUAUACCGCCUCAGUCUAGUCACAUGAGCCCUUAAAAGCAGAGGGAGCAGUUGCCCUGGAAGUUUCCAUGCUAUGGGCAAUGUAUUCAGACCCCAGGACAAGAUCUGAGUGCACGCUCAACCCUAAAAGGGGGAUGAGAAUAAUUUGAUUGAAAAAUGUCCCCAUAGCCUCAUCUUGAAAGAACGAAGUCUUUUUUCCUUCCUUUUACCCAGCAGGCGAGUAGUGUUUUUUAUCUUCCAGGCAUAACUCUUGGAAAGAAUGGAGCUACUUGUUUCAAAAGCCUGUGCUAAUGGGAAUAAACAGUUAAAAUAAAGUUUUUCCCAACUUCAGGGUAAGAAUGACUUUGUGUAGAUAUGGAGGACUGAAAGGAAAGUGGGUUCUACCAGUGGCAGAGAUCAGUACCCCACCCAAUGCUCCAGGAGAUACUAGGACUUUUUCAUAAAGCUGGGAUGUGGAUUCCCCACGACUGAACCUGGAAAAACAAGCCUAGCGGCCCAUGGCCAAAUUUCAUAGGACAGAACUAGGGCUGAAACAAAGAGACUUUCGAGCAGAAUAACUGUCUGACUUCAAAUGAAACACCAUUUGGACAAUAAGCAGUUCAUGAGCAACAAUUACAAUAUGAGCCGAGAAUGCCCCCCCAACUUCCUGAACACUGUAGAAAACCUUCCAUUUUUAUAUAAUCCCAGAGAAUAGAAGGGGACCACCAAGCAUACCAAAAAUUUCAUUUCUUAUCAGAUAGGCAAACAAAGACUCAGAGUCAAGUAUGAUUUAACAGAGAAAAGUAAAAUAAAUAUUACAUUUCUUGCACACAAAUAUGGUGGAACAAAUUCAUGCCUCUUUAGAAAAUGAUCAGGAUAAAUCCUAUCAUGAUUCAAAUCCC